rnacentral:rRNA from 1 species
GGGGGACCUUCGGGCCUCUUGCCAUCGGAUGUGCCCAGAUGGGAUUAGCUAGUAGGUGGGGUAACGGCUCACCUAGGCGACGAUCCCUAGCUGGUCUGAGAGGAUGACCAGCCACACUGGAACUGAGACACGGUCCAGACUCCUACGGGAGGCAGCAGUGGGGAAUAUUGCACAAUGGGCGCAAGCCUGAUGCAGCCAUGCCGCGUGUAUGAAGAAGGCCUUCGGGUUGUAAAGUACUUUCAGCGGGGAGGAAGGGAGUAAAGUUAAUACCUUUGCUCAUUGACGUUACCCGCAGAAGAAGCUCCGGCUAACUCCGCCCAGCAGC